UUUGAAUUUUUCUCCAGCUCCCAAGGCAAAAACUCUACUUAAAAAAAAAUUAUAUAUAUAUAUAUAUAUAUAUAUAUAUAUAUAUAUAUAUAUAUAUAUAUAUAUAUAUGACCAAAAAUUUAAAUCCCAAGUUGAAAUAUGGAAUUUGACCUGUUGCAUGCUUUAAAAAAAAAGGAAAGCAAGCCCCCUGCGGCACAGGUUCUAUGGCUACCAUUUCUAAGACCUUCCAGAAAUAAUUUUCUUUACCUUCACCAAGGAAGAGAGAGAGAAAUGGACCAUCAUGAGGAGACCCCUCCUACAGCCUUGUCCCCAAAUCACAAAGCCUGUUCCAGCCAUGCUAGAUUCUGCUGUCACAGUCUACAAAGCAAGGGCCUGUCUCUGGGCAUCAGGCUGGGUGUGUGGCUGAGGGCUCACAGGAGGGCUGCGAUGCAAGGCUAGGGGCUGCCUGUACAAGGCCACCCCCGUCCCUCCCUCCAGCUUAUGUCAUUCUGGUCCUUGCUGGAUGGGCAGAUCAGCCAUAGGCCCAAUGUCCACCCCAGUUACCUGGUUUCUCCUCUGCCUGACUCAAUGCUUAAGAUGUAAGCGUCAGUAGGACUGUUGCCUCUCUGCAAGUCUCCUGCCUACCUGGGAGAAGCUGUCAGGACCAAGCUGGAAGGAAGAGGGUAGAAGCCUGGGUGCUGGUCAGCCCAAGCUGGAGGCUUUUCUCCCUUCUGCCUAUCAGCCCUAACCCACAGGCCCUACUGAUGCUAAGGGCUGAGCUGGACAAAAACAUCGCCUCAAACUGGGCUUGGUAGCUUUCUAGGCUAGAGCUUCUGGCCAUUGGAAGAAGGCUAGCUCCUGACCUUGGGAUACCUACACCUCUCUACUUCACUCUACACCCAAAUCUAUCUAUCUUUCUCCCUCUCCCCUCCCCCUCCCCCUCCCCCUUCCUCCCUCUUUCCUCACUUCUCUCUCCCCUUCCCCCCAUGUCCACUUCUGCAACCUAGUGACAGACAAAUGUGUCUACAGAAUAGCCCCCACAGUUACUAGGCAGCCCUGACUCAGGGAACUGGGAUGUAACAAAGACUAGGUAUUGGAUAUUUGCCUUUAGGUGACAGGGAUAGAAUACAUAGAGUCUCACCGGGAGUGGUGCUCCACGUGCCCAGAGGGUUGCAAUGGAUGCCACUUCCAGGCACAGCUCUAAGCUCCUCUUCCAAGUUGUCUCCCCCCAACCCCCACCCCAAGCACAUGGCCCCAGCCUAAGCAUACCUUCUCCACCUGGAAAAAACUCUCACUCCAGGAAUGUGCUUUGGGCUCCUCGCCCACAACCAGCCACUUCUGACUUUGCAGUCUGCCUGUGACACUACUGUCAAUGAUGACAGUCUAGUUCAGACAUCUGUGCGGGGUCUACUGAAACACACUGGCACAAUAUGGCCUUGCCACAGACUCUGCUUCUCCUUACCUGUGACAGCUGGGGAGGUCUCAAAUCAAAUCAGCCCUGCCUGGGUGGUGGUUCCAAGCCACUCAUCCCUGAGGCCUGACCCCUAGAUGCUCUUCCCUGGGCAACCUCACAUCAUUCUAAGUCUAACUUAACCCCUUCCACACCAAGGGCAGGCCCGCUUCUUCCAACCCCCCAUCAUAGCUGAUACUCUGGUCCCAGCCACCAAGACCCUCCAGGGGUUCUGACAGGGGUAGCUACCUAUUUUUUUUCCCAGACACAAAGUCUCUGCCUGCCUCAGCGGGCAAACCUCUUAAGAGAAAUAACUCCCAGGUCCCUCUGGGUGUUGUCUGCCCCCCACCUGGCCCCCAGAAGAAGGAAUAUGUCUGAGCUGAAAUCUCCUCCUAGUCUUUGCUCCAGCUGACUCUUCCAGGUGACGUCCUGGGAGACAGAUCUGCUCUGCAAUGUCUUCUGAGAAAAUUCCUAAGGUCAGUGCCGCCAAAUUCGCUCCCGUGUUGUGGUUCCUGUCUGCUUGGCAUCUGAAAACCGCUUGGGCACUACUGGUCACUUUCCUCAGUGUGGUGAUCAAGGAGGAAGGGAACGGUGCAGGCAAAUGUAAGAUACUUACACUCUGUAAGAUAAAUCUCUGCCUCUGUUGUUUGUUUUCUUUUUUAAAGGUGUACGCAUUCUGUACGUGAAAUCGUCUGUAGAGAGUUUCCACGUUCUUAAAUGGCAAUACAUUCCAAAACUCGUACUGUAGAUAUGUACAGCAACCGCACUGGAAAGGGGGUAGUUUUGCCUGUGGUUUUAUUUAAACUCCAGUUUCUACACUUGUAUCUUGCAGUUGUCGGUAUGGUAUUCAUCAGUGCAAAAGAAAAACAAAUAAAAAAAAAAACUCAAACAAAAACAAAAGAAAAAAGAAAAAAAAAGAAAUCUUACACAGGUCUAAAGCACAGAGUCUGUUAUACAAAAGGAAAGAAUCGCUCAGUAUUGGUAUGUGUGACCCUUGUUGUAAAUCCCAUCUGUACUGUGAAUGAGACGUUUUUACAAGUAUAAUAAUUGCCUUUAUUACAGCUUGGGCUGGGUGUUCAGCCUGAAGAUAUUUUUUAAAAAAAAAUAUAUAGCACGUUGGAAUAAAUUUGAAAAUUCCCAAC
rnacentral:lncRNA from 1 species